rnacentral:rRNA from 1 species
CUUGAGUUUGAUCAUGGCUCAGAUUGAACGCUGGCGGCAUGCUUUACACCUGCAAGUCGAACGGCAGCGCGGGGCAACCUGGCGGCGAGUCGCGAACGGGUGAGUAAUAUAUCGGAACGUACCCAAGAGUGGGGGAUAACGUAGCGAAAGUUACGCUAAUACCGCAUACGAUCCAAGGAUGAAAGCAGGGGACCGCAAGGCCUUGUGCUCCUGGAGCGGCCGAUAUCUGAUUAGCUAGUUGGUAGGGUAAAGGCCUACCAAGGCUACGAUCAGUAGCUGGUCUGAGAGGACGACCAGCCACACUGGAACUGAGACACGGUCCAGACUCCUACGGGAGGCAGCAGUGGGGAAUUUUGGACAAUGGGCGCAAGCCUGAUCCAGCAAUGCCGCGUGUUUUUUUAAGGCCUUCGGGUUGUAAAGCUCUUUUGUCAGGGAAGAAACGGUGCGGGCUAAUAUCCUGCGCUAAUGACGGUACCUGAAGAAUAAGCACCGGCUAACUACGUGCCAGCAGCCGCGGUAA